rnacentral:rRNA from 1 species
CUCUACGGAAUAGCUCCGGGAAACUGGAAUUAAUACCGUAUACGUCCUUCGGGAGAAAGAUUUAUCGGAGUUGGAUGAGCCCGCGUUGGAUUAGCUAGUUGGUGGGGUAAUGGCCUACCAAGGCGACGAUCCAUAGCUGGUCUGAGAGGAUGAUCAGCCACACUGGGACUGAGACACGGCCCAGACUCCUACGGGAGGCAGCAGUGGGGAAUAUUGGACAAUGGGCGCAAGCCUGAUCCAGCCAUGCCGCGUGAGUGAUGAAGGCCCUAGGGUUGUAAAGCUCUUUCAACGGUGAAGAUAAUGACGGUAACCGUAGAAGAAGCCCCGGCUAACUUCGUGCCAGCAGCCGCGGUAAUACGAAGGGGGCUAGCGUUGUUCGGAAUUACUGGGCGUAAAGCGCACGUAGGCGGAUACUUAAGUCAGGGGUGAAAUCCCGGGGCUCAACCCCGGAACUGCCUUUGAUACUGGGUAUCUCGAGUCCGAGAGAGGUGAGUGGAAUUCCGAGUGUAGAGGUGAAAUUCGUAGAUAUUCGGAGGAACACCAGUGGCGAAGGCGGCUCACUGGCUCGGUACUGACGCUGAG